rnacentral:rRNA from 1 species
AUACGGAGGGUCUAAGCGUUAUCCGGAUUUAUUAGGUUUAAAGGGUGUGUAGGCGGUAUUUUAAGUCAGAGGUGAAAGCCCAUCGCUCAACGAUGGAACUGCCUUUGAUACUGGUUGACUUGAGUUAUACGGAAGUAGAUAGAAUAAGUAGUGUAGCGGUGAAAUGCAUAGAUAUUACUUAGAAUACCGAUUGCGAAGGCAGUCUACUACGUAUAUACUGACGCUGAGGGACGAAAGCGUGGGGAGCGAACAGGAUUAGAUACCCUAGUAGUCC